UGGCGGCGCACGCGGCGGCCGGCAAGGCGGAGGCGGCGCGGCGCGCGCGCGCAGCCGCCGUGGCCGGCUCGGCGGGCGUGGCGGCCGCGCAGCCGCAGCAGCUGCUGUACCGCCACCAGCCGCUGCAGGCCCGACACCACCUCAAGAUCCUGCACCACGCCAAUGCGAGCACGGCACAGGUUGCGGGUGGGAGCGGCGUGACGGUGGCGAGCGUGGCGGGCGUGGCCGGCGAGAGCGCGCUGCGCACGCUGCAGCUGCAGCAGCUGGCGCUGCGCCGCGGCGCCCUGCCGCCCGCCGCCGCCGCACCUGUGCCCGCUGCGCAGCAACAGCAGGUGGCGACAGCGGCCGGCACGCGGCUGCUGGCGCGCGCGGCGGCGCCGCACCCGCACGUGGUGGUGGCGCACACGCCGCACGCGCAGCACGCGCCCGCCGACGCCCGCCACCCGCCGCCCGCCGACCACUGACCGAGUGUACAGAAUGCCCGCCCGCCGCCUCACGUCACGUUGCGGCACCCGCACGAGCGCCGACCGUAAACCGAAACGUGAACAAUAAAC